GACGAACGCUGGCGGCGUGCUUAACACAUGCAAGUCGAGCGGUAAGGCCCUUUCGGGGGUACACGAGCGGCGAACGGGUGAGUAACACGUGGGUGACCUGCCCUCAGCUCUGGGAUAAGCCUGGGAAACCGGGUCUAAUACCGGAUACGACUCCAUGACGCAUGUUGUGGGGUGGAAAGCCUUGUGCGGCUGAGGAUGGGCCCGCGGCCUAUCAGCUUGUUGGUGGGGUGAUGGCCACCAAGGCGACGACGGGUAGCCGGCCUGAGAGGGCGACCGGCCACACUGGGACUGAGACACGGCCCAGACUCCUACGGGAGGCAGCAGGUGGGGAAUCUUGCGCAAGUGGGCGAAAGCCUGACGCAGCGACGCCGCGU
rnacentral:rRNA from 1 species